UGGGGAAUAUUUGGCAAUGAGCGAAAGCUUGACCAAGCAAUACCGCGUGGAGGAUGACUGCUUUAGGGUUGUAAACUCCUUUUCUGAUUGAGGAAGUUCUGACAGUAUUUCAGGAAUAAGCAUCGGCUAACUUCGUGCCAGCAGCCGCGGUAAUACGGGGGAUGCAAGCGUUAUCCGGAUUUAUUGGGCGUAAAGCGUUCGUAGAUGGUUUUUUAAGUUUAAUGUUAAAUCCCAAGGCUCAACCUUGAAAAUGCAUUAAAAACUGGACGACUUUAGUGCAAUAGGGGUAAAGGGAAUUUCCAGUGUAGCGGUGAAAUGCGUAGAUAUUGGAAAGAACGCCUACAGCGAAAGCACUUUACUGGGUUGCUACUGAAAUUGAGGAACGAAAGCUAGGGGAGCA
rnacentral:rRNA from 1 species